GAUGAACGCUAGCGGCAGGCCUAACACAUGCAAGUCGAGGGAUAAGCCUUCGGGCUAAGACCGGCGCACGGGUGCGUAACGCGUAUACAAUCUGCCUUUUAUCCGGGGGAUAGCCCGAAGAAAUUUGGAUUAAUACCCUAUGGUAUAAGAGCACGGCAUCGUGCACUUAUUAAUGCUACGGCGGUAAAAGAUGAGUAUGCGUUCUAUUAGCUAGUUGGAGAGGUAACGGCUCCCCAAGGCGACGAUAGAUAGGGGUUCUGAGAGGGAUGUCCCCCACACUGGUACUGAGAUACGGACCAGACUCCUACGGAAGGAAGAAAUGAGGAAUAUUGGAAAAUGGUCGAAAGACUGAUCCAGCAAUGCCGCGUGCAGGAUGAGGGCCUUAGGGGUUGUAAACAGCUUUUGUAAGGGAAGAAGAAGGAGUACAUGUACUUUGAGGACAGUACAUAACAAAUAAGAAUCGGCUAACUCAAUG
rnacentral:rRNA from 1 species